rnacentral:rRNA from 1 species
CACGUAGGGUGCGAGCGUUGUCCGGAAUUAUUGGGCGUAAAGAGCUCGUAGGCGGUGUGUCGCGUCGGCCGUGAAAACCUGCAGCUUAACUGUGGGCUUGCGGUCGAUACGGGCAUCACUGGAGUUCGGCAGGGGAGACUGGAAUUCCUGGUGUAGCGGUGAAAUGCGCAGACAUCGGGAAGAACACCCGUGGCGAAGGCGGCUCUCUGGGACGGUACUGACGCUGAGACGCGAAAGCGUGGGGAGCGAACAGG